CCUACGGGCGGCAGCAGUAGGGAAUUUUUCACAAUGGGCGAAAGCCUGAUGGAGCAAUGCCGCGUGAAUGAUGAAGGUCUUAUAGAUUGUCAAAUGCUUUUAUUUGGGAAGAAAAACUAAUGUGGGAAAUUACUUUAGUCUAACUGUACCAUUUGAAUAAGUAUCGGCUAACUAUGUGCCAGCAGCCGGGGUAAUACAUAGGAUGCAAGCGGUAUCCGUAUUUACGGGCGAAAAACGAGCGCAGGGGGGUUAAAAAGUUUGGUAUGAAAGGCUUUUGCUUACUGGAAGUUUGUAUCAAAAACUGUUCAUCUAGAGUGUAGUAGCGAGUGCUGGAAUUCAAUGUGGAGCGGUGGAAUGCGUAGAUAUAUGGAAGAACACCAGUGGCGAAGGCGAGAACUUAGGCUAUCACUGACGUUUAGGCUCGAAAGUGUGGGGAGCAAAUAGGAUUAGAUACCCGAGUAGUC
rnacentral:rRNA from 1 species